UACGUAGGCAGCAAGCGUUGUUCGGAAUUACGUGGGCGUAAAGAGUGUGUAGGCGGUGUCGUAAGUUUGGCGUGAAAUCUCCCGGCUUAACUGGGAGGGUGCGCCGAAGACUGCGGUGCUUGAGGAUCGGAGAGGAAAGUGGAAUUUCUGGUGUAGCGGUGAAAUGCGUAGAUAUCUGGAGGAACACCGGUGGCGAAGGCGGCAUCCUGGACCGACAUUGACGCUGAGGCGCGAAAGCCAGGGGAGCAAACGGG
rnacentral:rRNA from 1 species